GGAACUAAUGCUUCACCACAUGGCCUCCCAGAAUACAAGUGCGACUCUUAAGAACCGGUCUAGCUGCACUUCUCCCAGUAGCUCCUAUCACAGUUAUAGUCUUCCCCGAAGGCGGAGCCACCAUCUUAGUCACAACAGAAUGUUCAGCACCUGUGUCGAUCAUGAAAGAACUUCUCUUUCCCCCUAUUGCUACAUCGACCAUAGGCUCCGCUUGACCAAGUGGGAUGGAGCCCGGUCGGUAUCAAUAGUCUUCCAUGAUAGUAUCAGCCAGACCCACAAAAUCUCUAUCCUCUCUUUCUCUAGGUCUCUGCGUGGGUGGAUAGUAUCU